UACGUAGGGUGCGAGCGUUAAUCGGAAUUACUGGGCGUAAAGCGUGCGCAGGCGGCUUUGUAAGCCAGGUGUGAAAUCCCCGGGCUCAACCUGGGAAUGGCAUUUGGGACUGCAAGGCUGGAGUGCGGCAGAGGAGACUGGAAUUCCUGGUGUAGCAGUGAAAUGCGUAGAUAUCAGGAGGAAUACCGAUGGCGAAGGCAGGUCUCUGGGCUGACACUGACGCUCAUGCACGAAAGCGUGGGGAGCAAACAGG
rnacentral:rRNA from 1 species